rnacentral:rRNA from 1 species
AGCGAACGCUGGCGGCAGGCCUAACACAUGCAAGUCGAACGAACUCUUCGGAGUUAGUGGCGGACGGGUGAGUAACACGUGGGAACGUGCCUUUAGGUUCGGAAUAACUCAGGGAAACUUGUGCUAAUACCGAAUGUGCCCUUCGGGGGAAAGAUUUAUCGCCUUUAGAGCGGCCCGCGUCUGAUUAGCUAGUUGGUUGAGGUAAUGGCUCACCAAGGCGACGAUCAGUAGCUGGUCUGAGAGGAUGGCCAGCCACAUUGGGACUGAGACACGGCCCAAACUCCUACGGGAGGCAGCAGUGGGGAAUCUUGCGCAAUGGGCGAAAGCCUGACGCAGCCAUGCCGCGUGAAUGAUGAAGGUCUUAGGAUUGUAAAAUUCUUUCACCGGGGACGAUAAUGACGGUACCCGGAGAAGAAGCCCCGGCUAACUUCGUGCCAGCCGCCGCGGUAAAAC